AGGUCCAGAAUGAAUCAGCUGGGAGGAAGAAUAGAACAGUAGUGAAUGGGAGUAGAAGGAGGAAGAUGACCUAAGGGACCCGUAUGUGAGGCUGUAAUGGGGAUGAGAAACAUGGAAUUAACUGUUCUCCGGAUGUGAAAUGAGACUUCCAGUUCUUCGAGCAUUUUAACUGUCUCUGCACAGCUUCCUGGGAGAUUUCAUUCCUCCCAUCGUGGAAACUGUGUGGGCAGGAAGUGAGGAGGCAACAAGGGCUGUGGGUUAAUGCUUGGGAUGAAAGUCUUUAGCCAGCACCUACCUUUGGCUGAAUCUAGCAGAAAUCCUGCUGACAGAGCAUCCUGGGAAACGCAUCCUGCAGAUCUUGGCCCCAUGUGUUACAAUGGAGAACAGAGCAAGGUUGAGGCAUGCAUCAAAAGGCAAACCCGCCCUGGACCAGCACACAGCACUUACCACGUUUGUGGACCCUUGUGAUUUCACUGGGCUCAUCCAGAUAAUUCAGGAUAUCGCUCAAUUUUAAGGUCAGCUGUUUAGCAACCUUAAUUUCCCUUUGUCAUGAAUCUUAACAUAUUCAUGAAUUCUGUGGAUUAAGACAUGGACAUCUUUGAGGGCAAUUAUCUGCAGUGUGGGUAUUGUAAUCAAGGAUGAUGUUGCUAAAAAGGCAGAGAACUUGCAAUUACUUGGUAAAUGAACAUAAAACCACAGCUACCGGUGCUUGUUUGAUGUCAUAAGGUAAAAUAUAUAGCAAAUGUCAUUGAAUCUGAUGACCUGCCUACCUGCCUCAUCCUGCCACUAGCUGUAGGACCUUGCGCAAAUCAUUUGAUCUGUUUUACUAUUAGUUUUUUCAGCUGUAAUAUGGAAAUACUCAACUCUCAUGCCAUUUAUCUUUCAGGAUUAUUGAGCUGAUCAAAUCAAAUAAUGCAGUGUUAGGGCAUAUGCGUGUAUACAUAUAUAUAUAUUUAUCCCUUCAUUCUCUGUAAUGCUAUAUAUAUAUAUAAUAGGGUGUAUAGGUUGGUCAUAAGGUCAUCAGAUUCAGCCUUGCCCCAAAUCACUCUUUUAAAUGGAACAUGCUUUCUAU
rnacentral:lncRNA from 1 species